CAAAAUAUAGUUUAUUAAAAACAUUAAUUUUGGAGAUUAAAAAAAUGAUUUAAUUUAUUAUUUUGA
rnacentral:tRNA from 1 species